CACCUUUUCAAGGCUGUCCUUUAAUGUGUGUGUUUGGAAAGUAGAAAAGGAGGCGGCAAAGAAAUACACGUAAUACAAUUUACUCCAAGACCCAAGACUUAAGACCAUGUAUCAGAGAUGACUUCGCUUAGGGGUUCAGAAAAUUCACUGGCAGAAGUCCAAGAUUAAGGUGCCAGCACAUUUAGUUUCUGGCAAGGCGUCUGUUCCUGGCUUGCAAUGGUCACCUUCUGAAUGGAUCUUCACAUUGAUAGAAAAGAGCUAUACGCAAUCUCUGAGAUUGGUGCCAUUAUUAGUCCUCUUUCACAGACGAGCAAGUGAACCACAAAGAGGUCAUGUUGCCCAAGGCCAUAGUGCUAACUCAUCAGUGAUGGAGCAGGCAGUUGUCUCCAGUGGACGAGUACUGAGCUGCUCCUCUGAACCGCGCACUUCCUAGCUUAAAGAUUACACAACUCAGUUCUGACCAUUGAGGAAAAGAAGCCAUUAGUUUCCUGGUGAAUGAAGAUAGACACAGCUUGAGUCAUACCCUCCCCUUUCUGCCUUGAAUGUAGGUAUGAUGGCUACAGCAGUGGCAACUAACCUAUAACCAUGAGAGAAAAUAGUAGAGACAUAAAGAAAAUAAUAAAAACCAUCCCUGAAAUCAUUAAACAAUGAGCCAGUGUCAGCAACU
rnacentral:lncRNA from 1 species